UAGUCUAGUGGUUAGGAUUUACGGCUCUCACCCGUAAGGCCCGGGAUCGAUUCCCGG
rfam:Nippostrongylus brasiliensis genome assembly, scaffold: NBR_contig0018579